rnacentral:lncRNA from 12 species
CCAGUGCCGCCUGGAUGUGAGCCCCACUCCUGCGCCGGAAGCAGACGCAGGGGUGCAGGCGAAGGCCACGUGGCUUGGGACUCGCUAUGACUUGCCCGAGGGCGCUCUGACCAAGCACCCCAAAGCUCCCAGCAGCCCUGCUCAAAGCCUGCACCAGGCCUCUCUGCGAAUGAGGAAACCGAGGCCGAGGGCACAGAGCGGUACUUAAAAUCAGGCGGAGAGAGCCAGAGUCCACCCCAGCCCAGAUCCACCUGCCGCCAGCCCUGUCUACCUUCCGCACCCCGCCCGCCGCUCAUCCAGAGGGGAGGGAGUCAGAACAGCCCCUCGGCGCAGGUGAGAUGGGGACUGACGCACCCCCCCCCCCCCCGCACCUCUCCCUCUGCUCAGAAUGCCCGGCCGUGCUCCACCAGGGAAGGUCUCCAGUCCUCCAAGGGCACCUCUGGGUUGAUCCCCAGUUCUGCUGUGAAGGCACCACCCCUCGUCCGGCCCAUGCCAAGCUCCCCGCAGCUGACGUCUCUCUUCUCCACCUGUGCCCAGGGGGUGGCAGUUCCCCAAGGUUGUGUCUUUCUUUGGGUUUUGACUUACCAGCGUUUAACUCUUGCUGCCCACCCUCAGGUCUCCGUAUGUCCAGGAGUGAGGUCUGACCUUAGGGGGUGUCCCUCCUGCAGGCCCCGCACUGGCUCCCUGUCCCCUGUGCCCUGUGAGCCCAAGAGGCCCUUCCCCUGCGCCAUAGGUGCUAGUUUCCACCCUCUGGGCCUCUGCUCAGCUAUCGCCUCUGCCUACAGUGCUCUCCCUUUCUUCCUUUCUACCCAGUGGUAUAUUAAGUUCUGUCUUUUGUCUCCUUUAAUCACCUGGGGACUCAGCGAGGGAAAGAUGCUAGUCAAUCUCAUCUUUAUGUCCCCACAGCACCUAACGCGGGACCUGACACGUAGAUAUUCAAUAAAUGUUCGUGAAACGAAUGACUUCUGCUCCGACGCGAGAAGCUCGCAGGUACCCCAUAUUAGCAGGACCUACGACAAAACCUCCUUUGGCCUGCAUCUCCCAAGGAGAAGCUCAUUAAGCACCCCAGAACUUUGA